rnacentral:rRNA from 1 species
GACGAACGCUGGCGGCGUGCUUAACACAUGCAAGUCGAACGGAAAGGCCCAGCUUUCGUGGUACUCUAGUGUCGAACGGGGGAGUAACACGCGUGUGAACCCCGCUCUAGUUUGUGGUAAGCCUUGAAGACUGGGGCGAAUAUCCCGGAUAAGCAACUCUCCUACGGGGUGUGGGUUAAAGCGUUUGGGCGGUUGGGGAUGGACUCGCGGCUUAUCAGCUUGUUGGUGGGGUAGUGGCUUACCAAGGCUUUGACGGGUAGCCGGCCUGAGAGGGUGACCGGCCACAUUGGGACUGAGAUACGGCCCAGACUCCUACGGGAGGCAGCAGUGGGGAAUAUUGCACAAUGGGCGGAAGCCUGAUGCAGCAACGCCGCGUGCGGGAUGACGGCCUUCGGGUUGUAAACCUCUUUCGCCUGGGACGAAGCGUGAGUGACGGUAAUUGGUAAAGAAGCACCGGCUAACUACGUG